UAGGGAAUAUUGGGCAAUGGUCGCAAGACUGACCCAGCCACGCCGCGUGCAGGAGGAAGGCCCUCUGGGUUGUAAACUGCUUUAGCAGGGGAAGAAAAGACUCAUGCGUGAGGCAUUGACGGUACCCUGAGAAUAAGCACCGGCUAACUACGUGCCAGCAGCCGCGGUAAUACGUAGGGUGCAAGCGUUGUCCGGAUUUAUUGGGUUUAAAGGGUGCGUAGGCGGCCUGUUAAGUCAGUGUUUAAAUUUUGCAGCUUAACUGUAGGUAUGGCAUUGAUACUGAUGGGCUUGAAUAUUAAGGAGGUAGCUGGAAUUUAUGGUGUAGCGGUGAAAUGCAUAGAUACCAUAAGGAACACCGAUAGCGGAGGCAUGUUACCACUUGAUAAUUGACGCUGAGGCACGAAAGUGUGGGGAUCAAACAGG
rnacentral:rRNA from 1 species